UUGAAUGCGCGUGCUAUAAUGCAAGUCGAGCGGACAGAAGGGAGCUUGCUCCCGGAUGUUAGCGGCGGACGGGUGAGUAACACGUGGGUAACCUGCCUGUAAGACUGGGAUAACUCCGGGAAACCGGAGCUAAUACCGGAUAGUUCCUUGAACCGCAUGGUUCAAGGAUGAAAGACGGUUUCGGCUGUCACUUACAGAUGGACCCGCGGCGCAUUAGCUAGUUGGUGGGGUAAUGGCUCACCAAGGCGACGAUGCGUAGCCGACCUGAGAGGGUGAUCGGCCACACUGGGACUGAGACACGGCCCAGACUCCUACGGGAGGCAGCAGUAGGGAAUCUUCCGCAAUGGACGAAAGUCUGACGGAGCAACGCCGCGUGAGUGAUGAAGGUUUUCGGAUCGUAAAGCUCUGUUGUUAGGGAAGAACAAGUGCGAGAGUAACUGCUCGCACCUUGACGGUACCUAACCAGAAAGCCACGGCUAACUACGUGCCAGCAGCCGCGGUAAUACGUAGGUGGCAAGCGUUGUCCGGAAUUAUUGGGCGUAAAGGGCUCGCAGGCGGUUUCUUAAGUCUGAUGUGAAAGCCCCCGGCUCAACCGGGGAGGGUCAUUGGAAACUGGGAAACUUGAGUGCAGAAGAGGAGAGUGGAAUUCCACGUGUAGCGGUGAAAUGCGUAGAGAUGUGGAGGAACACCAGUGGCGAAGGCGACUCUCUGGUCUGUAACUGACGCUGAGGAGCGAAAGCGUGGGGAGCGAACAGGAUUAGAUACCCUGGUAGUCCACGCCGUAAACGAUGAGUGCUAAGUGUUAGGGGGUUUCCGCCCCUUAGUGCUGCAGCUAACGCAUUAAGCACUCCGCCUGGGGAGUACGGUCGCAAGACUGAAACUCAAAGGAAUUGACGGGGGCCCGCACAAGCGGUGGAGCAUGUGGUUUAAUUCG
rnacentral:rRNA from 2 species